rnacentral:rRNA from 1 species
GACGAACGCUGGCGGCGUGCUUAACACAUGCAAGUCGAACGGAAAGGCCCUGCUUUUGUGGGGUGCUCGAGUGGCGAACGGGUGAGUAACACGUGAGUAACCUGCCCUUGACUUUGGUAUAACUUCAGGAAACUGGGGCUAAUACCGGAUAGGAGCUCCUGCUGCAUGGUGGGGGUUGGAAAGUUUCGGCGGUUGGGGAUGGACUCGCGGCUUAUCAGCUUGUUGGUGGGGUAGUGGCUUACCAAGGCUUUGACGGGUAGCCGGCCUGAGAGGGUGACCGGCAACAUUGGGACUGAGAUACGGCCAAGCCUCCUACGGGAGGCAGAAGUGGGGAAUAUUGAAAAAUGGGCGGAAGCCUGAGGCAGAAACGCCGCGUGCGGGAUGACGGCCUUCGGGUUGUAAACCGCUUUCGCCUGUGACGAAGCGUGAGUGACGGUAAUGGGUAAAGAAGCACCGGCUAACUACGUG